AUAAACAGAGAAGGCAGGAACAGCAGCCACACAGCCAGGACUCAUGUGCGAUUGAAUUGUCAAUCAGAAUGCAACAAAGCCUUAGCAAUUCAGUGUGUAACUCAAGGUUCCUGCUGUUCGUGACUUGUACCAUCCAAUGGCUUCUCCACCAUUAGCUGAAUUUAUCAUCCACUCACUACUUCAUACUCAGUGCCCUGCUGGGUAGCAGUCUAAUGUCAGACCAUAUAAUGAAAUACCACUCAGCAAUAAAAAGGUCAACCAAGAGAGUACCAACUGGCUGGCUAUUUACAUUUCCACAAGAAAACAACAGACAACUUACAGCUGCCUAUAAAUAUAGUGGAGGACACUUGAAAUGGGAAACCAGAUAAUCAAUCUGCCUCACUGGCACAAAUUUACUGAGCGAAUUCUCGCCGGGUGUGCUGUCUAUGCAGGAUUUUAUAUAUUCUUCACACUGUCUGGCUGAAUUAUAUUCAUAUAAAUGAAAUAAAUCUCCCUUUGAAUCCACAACAAAAGUGGAAUGGUUUAGAAUUUUGAGCAAAGUGGUACACUCACCAUCAGGAAUAUUGUGCCCAAACACGAGAUAUUAUGUUUUGUUAUAUUCUUAGACCUCAUAUACAUUUUCCUCAGAUAUCCGAAUGGUAACACUUUCAGGAGUAGAGGAUGCUAUAUACAUUUUAUUUAUUUGUAUUUAUUCAAAAUUUUAUUUAAAUUCUGUAUUAAUAUAAUUGUGGAUUCACAUGCAGUUAUAAGAAAUAAUACAGAAAUCUCUUGUGUAAAAUUUUUCAAGCUUCCCUUAAUGGUAACAUUUUGCAAAACUAUCAUAUAAUAUCAUAUCCAGGCUGUUAACAUUUAUAUAAUACCCCUAUAUUAUUCAGAUUGCCAGUUUUACCAGUACGUGUGUGUGUGUGUCUGUGUAUGUGUGUAUUUAGUUCUAUACAAUUUUGACACCUUUAAAGUUUCAUGUAUCCUCAACCAAAGUCAAGAUAACACUUCCGACACCACAAGGAUACUUUAUCCUGCUCUUUUCUAAUCAUACCCAGCUUGCUUCUGCCUUACCCUAUACUUAACUACUGACAUGUCCUCCAUUUCUAAAAUGUUAUCAUUUUAAAGAUUACAGAAAGGAAUCAUGCAUUAUGUCAUCUUUUGGGAAUAGAUUUUUUCUCACUCAACUAUUGAUACACCCAAGUUUCUGCAUGUAUCAGUAGUUAAUUCCUCUUCAUUACUGAGUAGUGUUCCAUUGUAUAGAUAUAUGACAGUUUGUUUAACAAUUUACCGGUUGAAGAGCACUCAACUGUUUUCAGGUUUUAUUAUUAUGAAUAAAGCUGCAACGAAUAUUCAGUUUUGUGUGAACAUAGUUUGCGUCUCUCUAGGAUGAAUGUGUGUGACUGCAUUUGGUGGACUGUAUGGUAGUUAUAUUUUUACUUUAAUAAGAAAAUGUAAAACUGCUUUCCAGAGUGGCUAUAAAUGUUACAUUCCUACUAGAAAUUUCUGAAUGAUCCAGUGGCUCCACAUUCUCAUCAGCAUUUGAUGUUAUCCUUAUUAUUUAUAUUAGAAGUUGACAAUUUAGUGGUCUUUCACCAAGCAGCUCUCGGUUACAUACAAACACUUCCCUCAUCACCAAGUUCCCCGUAUAGUUUAGCAUAAUUUUGUUUGGAUUAACAUACAACUGUUUUUUAGUUUUGAUUUUAAUUUUUGAGGGGAGGUAAUGGGCAUAUAUAUUUAUGGGGUACAUGUGAUAUUUUGAUACAGGCAUGUAAUACAUAAUAAUCACAUUAUGUGAAGUGGGAUAUCUAUCCCUUCAAGCAUUUGUCUUUUGUGUUAUGAACAAUUCAAUUAUACUGUUUUAGUUAUUUUAAAAUAUAAAAUUAAAUUAUUUUUGACUAUAGUGGCCCUGUUGUGCUAUCAGAGACUAGAUCUUAUACAUUAUUCCUAACUAUGUUUUCUUUUUGUACACAUUAACCAUCUCAACCUCCGCCCCACCCUCCCACUACCCUUCCCAGACUCUGGUGACCAAC
rnacentral:lncRNA from 10 species